rnacentral:rRNA from 1 species
CCUACGGGAGGCAGCAGUGGGGAAUUUUGGACAAUGGGGGCAACCCUGAUCCAGCCAUGCCGCGUGAGUGAAGAAGGCCUUCGGGUUGUAAAGCUCUUUCGGCUGGGAAGAAAUCGCAUCUCCUAAUACGGGGUGUGGAUGACGGUACCAGCAUAAGAAGCACCGGCUAACUACGUGCCAGCAGCCGCGGUAAUACGUAGGGUGCGAGCGUUAAUCGGAAUUACUGGGCGUAAAGCGUGCGCAGGCGGUUUGGUAAGACAGGCGUGAAAUCCCCGGGCUUAACCUGGGAACUGCGCUUGUGACUGCCAGGCUAGAGUACGGCAGAGGGGGGUGGAAUUCCACGUGUAGCAGUGAAAUGCGUAGAGAUGUGGAGGAACACCAAUGGCGAAGGCAGCCCCCUGGGUCGAUACUGACGCUCAUGCACGAAAGCGUGGGUAGCAAACAGGAUUAGAUACCCUGGUAGUCCACGCCCUAAACGAUGUCAACUAGGUGUUGGGUGGGUAAAACCAUUUAGUACCGUAGCUAACGCGUGAAGUUGACCGCCUGGGGAGUACGGCCGCAAGGUUAAAACUCAAAGGAAUUGACGG